rnacentral:lncRNA from 1 species
AUGUAUUUUUAGCUCACCUGGCCCGAAGGGCCAAGUGAGCUUUUCUCAUCACUUGGCGUCCGUCGUCCGUCGUCCGUCGUCCGUCGUCGUCGUCGUCGUCGUCGUCGUCGUCGUCCGUCGUUAACUUUUACAAAAAUCUUCUCCUCUGAAACUACUGGACCAAAUUAAACCAAACUUGGCCACAAUCAUCAUUGGGGUAUCUAGUUUAAAAAUUGUGUCCGGUGACCCGUCCAACCAACCAAGAUGGCCGCCAUGGCUAAAAAUAGAACAUAGGGGUAAAAUGCAGUUUUUGGCUUAUAACUCAAAAACCAAAGCAUUUAGAGCAAAUCUGACAUGGGGUAAAAAUUGUUUAUCAGGUCAAGAUCUAUCUGCCCUGAAAAUUUUCAGAUGAAUCGGACAACCCGUUGAUAGGUUGCUGCCCCUGAAUUGGUAAUUUUGAGAAAAUUUUGCUGUUUUUGGUUAUUAUCUUGAAUAUUAUUAUAGAUAGAGAUAAACUGUGAACAACAAAAAUGUUCAACAAAGUAAGAUCUACAAAUAAGUCAACAUGACCAAAAUGGUCUGUUGACCCCUUUAGAAGUUAUUGCCCUUUAUAGUCAAUUUUUAACCAUUUUUCGUAAAUCUUAAUUAUCUUUUACAAAAAUCUUCUCCUCUGAAACUACUGGACCAAAUUAAACCAAACUUGGCCACAAUCAUCAUCGGGGUAUCUAGUUUAAAAAUUGUGUCCGGUGAUCCGGCCAACCAACCAAGAUGGCCGCCAUGGCUAAAAAUAGAACAUAGGGGUAAAAUGCAGUUUUUGGCUUAUCACUCAAAAACCGAAGCAUUUAGAGCAAAUCUGACAUGUAGUAAAAUUGUUUAUCAGGUCAAGAUCUAUCUGCCCUGAAAUUUUGAGAUGAAUCGGACAACUCGUUGAUAGGUUGCUGCCCCUGAAUUGGUAAUUUUAAGGAAAUUUUGCUGUUUUUGAUUAUUAUCUUG